UAUUGGCAUUUGGCAGGAUACUG
rnacentral:snRNA from 1 species